AAGGCGCGCGAUACAGGGUGACAGCCCCGUACACAAAAAUGCACAUAUUGUGAGCUCGAUGAGUAGGGCGGGACACGUGGUAUCCUGUCUGAAUAUGGGGGGACCAUCCUCCAAGGCUAAAUACUCCUGACUGACCGAUAGUGAACCAGUACCGUGAGGGAAAGGCGAAAAGAACCCCGGCGAGGGGAGUGAAAAAGAACCUGAAACCGUGUACGUACAAGCAGUGGGAGCACGCUUAGGCGUGUGACUGCGUACCUUUUGUAUAAUGGGUCAGCGACUUAUAUUCUGUAGCAAGGUUAACCGAAUAGGGGAGCCGAAGGGAAACCGAGUCUUAACUGGGCGUUAAGUUGCAGGGUAUAGACCCGAAACCCGGUGAUCUAGCCAUGGGCAGGUUGAAGGUUGGGUAACACUAACUGGAGGACCGAACCGACUAAUGUUGAAAAAUUAGCGGAUGACUUGUGGCUGGGGGUGAAAGGCCAAUCAAACCGGGAGAUAGCUGGUUCUCCCCGAAAGCUAUUUAGGUAGCGCCUCGUGAAUUCAUCUCCGGGGGUAGAGCACUGUUUCGGCAAGGGGGUCAUCCCGACUUACCAACCCGAUGCAAACUGCGAAUACCGGAGAAUGUUAUCACGGGAGACACACGGCGGGUGCUAACGUCCGUCGUGAAGAGGGAAACAACCCAGACCGCCAGCUAAGGUCCCAAAGUCAUGGUUAAGUGGGAAACGAUGUGGGAAGGCCCAGACAGCCAGGAUGUUGGCUUAGAAGCAGCCAUCAUUUAAAGAAAGCGUAAUAGCUCACUGGUCGAGUCGGCCUGCGCGGAAGAUGUAACGGGGCUAAACCAUGCACCGAAGCUGCGGCAGCGACGCUUAUGCGUUGUUGGGUAGGGGAGCGUUCUGUAAGCCUGUGAAGGUGUGCUGUGAGGCAUGCUGGAGGUAUCAGAAGUGCGAAUGCUGACAUAAGUAACGAUAAAGCGGGUGAAAAGCCCGCUCGCCGGAAGACCAAGGGUUCCUGUCCAACGUUAAUCGGGGCAGGGUGAGUCGACCCCUAAGGCGAGGCCGAAAGGCGUAGUCGAUGGGAAACAGGUUAAUAUUCCUGUACUUGGUGUUACUGCGAAGGGGGGACGGAGAAGGCUAUGUUGGCCGGGCGACGGUUGUCCCGGUUUAAGCGUGUAGGCUGGUUUUCCAGGCAAAUCCGGAAAAUCAAGGCUGAGGCGUGAUGACGAGGCACUACGGUGCUGAAGCAACAAAUGCCCUGCUUCCAGGAAAAGCCUCUAAGCAUCAGGUAACAUCAAAUCGUACCCCAAACCGACACAGGUGGUCAGGUAGAGAAUACCAAGGCGCUUGAGAGAACUCGGGUGAAGGAACUAGGCAAAAUGGUGCCGUAACUUCGGGAGAA
rnacentral:rRNA from 1 species